ensembl:Y_RNA Y_RNA Y RNA
GGCUGGUCUGAAGAUAGUGAGUUAUCUCAAUUGAUUGUUCACAGUUACAGGUUGAAAUUCUUGUUCUACUCUUUUGCCCCUCUCACUAUUGCACUUGACUAGUCUUUU